rnacentral:lncRNA from 1 species
CUACCUUAACUUCUGUUUUCAUUCUCCUUAUUCGAAUUAUGCACAGUUACACAAUAUUUUAAUGGCGGAGAAAUUGUUUUAAAAUUUGUGUCACAUCAAAUUUGAAUAAUGAUUAUAAUCCUUUAUUAUACUUCAUAAUUGACAUCAAAAGUCUGCAAAAAAGUAAAAAAUACUGUCAAAUCACUUGUGGUCAUUCAUUAUUACAGUCACAAUUAAACAAUCUCUGUAUUUCUUAGGCGAUGGAUAAAGGCAACAGUUGAAGUGAUACGAGAUACAAUGGCGGUCAUGUAGAGACGUGUAAUAUGCAGUUAAAUGUCUAUAUCUAUAUACUUAUGAAAAUUGUAUUGUUACGUUGUAUGUAUUAUUUGUUCCUGUUUUCUGUUUUUUU